rnacentral:rRNA from 1 species
CCGACGGUGAGGGGUGAAAGCUGGGGGAGCAAACCGGAUUAGAUACCCGGGUAGUCCCAGCUGUAAACUAUGCAAACUCAGUGAUGCAUUGGCUUGUGGCCAAUGCAGUGCUGCAGGGAAGCCGUUAAGUUUGCCGCCUGGGAAGUACGUACGCAAGUAUGAAACUUAAAGGAAUUGGCGGGGGAGCACCACAAGGGGUGAAGCCUGCGGUUCAAUUGGAGUCAACGCCAGAAAUCUUACCCGGAGAGACAGCAGAAUGAAGGUCAAGCUGAAGACUUUACCAGACAAGCUGAGAGGUGGUGCAUGGCCGUCGCCAGCUCGUGCCGUGAGAUGUCCUGUUAAGUCAGGUAACGAGCGAGAUCCCUGCCUCUAGUUGCCACCAUUACUCUCAGGAGUAGUGGGGCGAAUUAGCGGGACCGCCGCAGUUAAUGCGGAGGAAGGAAGGGGCCACGGCAGGUCAGUAUGCCCCGAAACUCUGGGGCCACACGCGGGCUGCAAUGGUAGCGACAAUGAGUUCCAAAAUCGAAAGAUGGAGGUAAUCCCUAAACGCUACCACAGUUGUGAUUGAGGGCUGCAACUCGCCCUCAUGAACAUGGAAUCCCUAGUAACCGCGUGUCAUUAUCGCGCAGUGAAUACGUCCCUGCUCCUUGCACUCACCGCCCGU